AGCUCCUGGCGGUGGAUAUCUAGGCUCUCGCAGCGAUGAAGAACGCAGCAAAGCGCGAUAGUUGGUGCGAUUUGCAGGUUUCGUGAAUCAUCGAGUCUUUGAACGCAAGUGGCGCUCGCGGGUUCGCUCGCGAGCAUGCCUGUUUGAGUGUCAG
rnacentral:rRNA from 1 species